rnacentral:snRNA from 1 species
GUGCUCGCUUCGGCAGCACAUAUACUAAAAAUUGGAACCGUACAGAGUAGAUUAGCAUGGACCCUGCUCAAGGAUGACAUGUAAAUUCAUGAAGCCUUCCAUAUUAAA